GUGACUGGACAGUCAAGAGUUAAACCCAGCUCUAAGUAUGGCUUGAUUCACAGGCUCAAAUAUUGUCACCAGGAUCUGGUUCCUCUCUCUGCAUUUCUAGCUCCUCCUGGGAGAGUGCUCUUCUCAGCCAGGUUCUCGUCUUGGUGGCAGUCUGGUUUUUGGCGGUUGUGACUUCAUACAGUUUUUCAUUCAAGUCCAGUAGGAAAGAGCGAUUCUUUUCCCAGAAGUCCUGGCAAAAGUUGCUUUUGUCUCCCUAGCCCUACUGGCUCAGGUGUCCAUCCAUCAGCCAAUCUCCGUGGUCAGGGGAAGGUGGCACACUCAUGGACUUGGGCUUGGCCCAUGUGAACCUCCUGAACUGAGAAUGGGGGAGGGAUGAGAUUCCGAACCAACCAGUAUGGCAGCCAGAUAAAUGGGAGUUUGGCCCAUGCUCACCUCAGGGUCUGACCUCCCCCUUCUCUUCCUCCUCCUUCUCCCGUUACCGGUUACCGACGAUGGGGAAGCUGAGACCCAGCAGGGGCGGGGCAGCUAGGGAGUUUACGGCCCAGCUUGGAGCUGCUGUGACUUCUUCCUGUGACUCCCAGUGGGUCAUUGGACUCAUCCUCCAAAUAAGGACCCCAGCUCUCCAGAUCAUGUACGGGUCUCAGCCCUUGGGGACCCCCACCCCUGUCCCCGUGGCCCCCUUGCCCACGACUUAUCAGGGAGGCUCAGCCAAGGCCCCUGGUUCCUCCAGCAAGAUUGCCCAUGCUUGCCAAUUCCUAGGCACGUCGGCUCUGAAAUUGUUCCCUCUGACAGGCUCUCAUCCCAACCUCCAUCGGUGCUUUGCUCUUCCUGGGGGAGAAGGAGGCUGCUCUCCAGCUGGAGGCGUUACCUGGCAUCCAGGUAGAGGUGCUGCCCUCACUGAAGGCCCUCAGCCACCACGUGGACCCCAGCCAGCUGCCCACGGCCCUGGAAGGCCCCUUCCCCUACUGCCCCAGCGAGUGGGUGCAAUUCUUCCAGGUGUCUAACCACACAGCCUUCAGCCCACACCCUCGCCCCUUCUCUUUCUCCCUCCACUGUCCUGCCCCAUGGAUCCACUGAGCUUAUCAAGUUCAAAACCAGUCAUUCAACCAAAAUUUAUACUGAGGGUGCAGAGUGGAGUGAUUAAAAGCUCGGGCUCUGGAGCAGAUGGCCUAGGUUCCAACCCCAGCUCUGCUGUGUGACCUUGGAUAAGUGAUAUACCUUCUCUGAGCCCUUUUCUUCAAUGACAGAAUGGGGCAUAGUAAUAGCACCUCCUCAUGGGGCAG
rnacentral:lncRNA from 1 species